AGAAAAAGGAAGUCCAAACCUCACCCAAGGCAGUUUGCUCAGUUUUGAAUAUCUCAAAUAUGGGAUGGAGAAACCACAGCCUCUGUGGGCAUUCAUCAUCAGAUGCUUGCCCUUCUCUAAAAUUAUUCUGCAGGCAUCUGCUGUUGGCUGCUGCUAGAAGGAGCAGGUUGGAUUAGGCUGAUCCUUCGUCUGAUGCAGCACUAUUGUUCUUGUUGUCUUUUCAAGGGCUUCUUUGUUUCCAAGGAUGGGAAAGAGACUUCAAGACACAAAACAGUUGUUCCAAGAGGACUCAGUGUUUGCAUAGUCUUAACAGGUGUAGAAGAAGAAGAAGAAGAAGAAGAAGAAGAAGAAGAAGAAAAAAUUAAAAUGAAUUAAUGCUAAGAAAUGGAUCUUAAACUAGAAGACUUAGAUUUCAAUUUGUUUAGCUUAUAAAGGAUCAAGGGGUGAAUUGAUUAUAAUGUAUAAUUAAAUAUCUGUAUAAAAGGGAAACGCUCUGAAAGGGUUUCCCUUACCUUUUUUUUUUUUUUUUUUUCUUCUUCUUUUCAGAUACAGCAAAGAAAGAUGUAACAGGAACCAGAAAUUGCAAUUAAAGCUUGUACACUGAAAUUAUAAAUACAGCAUAAGCUUACAAAAAAGGAACAAUUUUGUAGAAGUGACGAUAAUUAAAAAUACAAUUUAACGACCUAACGUUCAAUUUACAUUUCUUAAUUAUUUCAAAUGAAGAUGGAGUGUACUUCUGCCUUGUUCAGACAAAUGUACUGCAUUGUAAAAAAAAAAAAAGAGAAAAGAAACAAAAACACAACAACUAUGUAUGAUCUGUGGGAUAUAUGAAGUAUGACAAAAAGAUAGAUUAAGUGCUACAGAAAUUUUCUCAUAGUUUGAACUAAUCAGUCUUAAAAUGAUCAUAUUAAAGCUAUCUUUUGAGGAGGUCAUUUAACACUCAAUCAUAAUUUGGUCAAAAGAUAAAGUACUUUUUAAAAAUGUAUUUGCUUUGUAACUGAGAAAAAAAGAAAAAAAAAAAGAGAAUUUGAUUUUGGGUAAAAAAAAAAGAAAUUAAAAAAAAAAACACAAACAGAGGGUUUUCUAUUUUUUUCCUUUGAAGGGAAAUUCCUUCAUUUUUAGAAUUGAUAAUAUUAAUAAAAUAUAAUAGAAGUAAUGAAAACUUAAGCA
rnacentral:lncRNA from 1 species